rnacentral:rRNA from 1 species
CCUACGGGCGGCAGCAGUCGAGAAUCAUUCACAAUGGGGGAAACCCUGAUGGUGCGACGCCGCGUGGGGGAAUGAAGGUCUUCGGAUUGUAAACCCCUGUCAUGUGGGAGCAAAUUAAAAAGAUAGUACCACAAGAGGUAGACACGGCUAACUCUGUGCCAGCAGCCGCGGUAAUACAGAGGUCUCAAGCGUUGUUCGGAAGGACUGGGCGUAAAGCGUGCGUAGGCUGUUUCGUAAGUCGUGUGUGAAAGGAGCGGGCUCAACCCGGGGACGGCACAUGAUACUGGGAGACGAGAGUUAUGGAGAGGGAAGCGGAAUGCUCGGUGUAGCAGUGAAAUGCGUAGAUA